rnacentral:rRNA from 1 species
AAGUCGAGCGGAACGAGUUAUCUGAACCUUCGGGGAACGAUAACGGCGUCGAGCGGCGGACGGGUGAGUAAUGCCUAGGAAAUUGCCCUGAUGUGGGGGAUAACCAUUGGAAACGAUGGCUAAUACCGCAUAAUGCCUACGGGCCAAAGAGGGGGACCUUCGGGCCUCUCGCGUCAGGAUAUGCCUAGGUGGGAUUAGCUAGUUGGUGAGGUAAGGGCUCACCAAGGCGACGAUCCCUAGCUGGUCUGAGAGGAUGAUCAGCCACACUGGAACUGAGACACGGUCCAGACUCCUACGGGAGGCAGCAGUGGGGAAUAUUGCACAAUGGGCGCAAGCCUGAUGCAGCCAUGCCGCGUGUGUGAAGAAGGCCUUCGGGUUGUAAAGCACUUUCAGUCGUGAGGAAGGUAGUGUAGUUAAUAGCUGCAUUAUUUGACGUUAGCGACAGAAGAAGCACCGGCUAACUCCGUGCCAGCAGC